CCGAUGAAUGUGUGAUCAUUAAUUGACCAGUGUGAACCGUCCAACAAAUCUUUAGGGGUCGGCACAGGUAGAAGUGGUCGUUAAAUGGUGGAUAUUCCUUCCAGCAGCCCCGCCAUUGUGUGCUACUAUGCAUAUUGAACGUAAAAGACUGAGAGAACGUAUCUUCAUGAUCACCAUGAAAGGAAAAACUUUUAAAGAAAGAGAUAAACAACUUUUGACGGUGGAUCUCUUGGCUCACGUAUCGAUGAAGAACGCAGCCAGCUGCGAUAUGUAGUGUGAAUUGCAGAAUUCAGUGAAUCAUUGAAUCUUUGAACGCAAAUGGCGCUCUUGGGUUCUCCCAGGGGCAUGUCUGUCUGAGUGUCGGAUUUUAUCGAACGCACACUCACUCGUGAGUGUGCGGUAUUGAGGUGUCACGGCGUGAAGAAUCAGUGUAUUAAUGAUCGCCGUGUCCCUUGAAGAGCAGCAGCAGCAGCAGCAUUCUCUAUAGAAACUUGAGUGCGAAGGCUAAAGAUAUUGCUAUUUUCCUUCGCUCCAGGUUGGUUUAGGGUUGUUGGGUUGCUGAAAAAGAGAAACAAACAAACCCAAUCAAUCUUGACCUCAGGUCAGGCAAGGCUACCCGCUGAAUUUAA
rnacentral:rRNA from 1 species